GCAUUUUAGGAAUAUGCUCUGGCUGGAGCAUCUGAACUUUAUUAAAUGUAACUUUUUAGAAAUAAAGUGAGGGAUUUAAUUAAUUAUUGUAUUAUCAUAAUGUCUGUAAUUAUAUCACACACAAUGAAAUGUCCUAGACAAAUCAACUACCUCAAAAUAUUGCAUGGACUUAGACCUUAUAAAAGCACAUGAACUUAUAAGAACUAUAUUAUAUAUUAUAUCUAUAGAUAUAACUUGUAGAAUUGUAGUUACUGGCAUUUUCCUCAUUUGGGAUUGAAUCUGGUUUAUUAUGGUUUAGUUUGCAUGUCUUUUUCAUAGUUUCGUAAGCCAAAGGAAAGAAAGAAAAUGAGAAAAGGAAAGCCAACACAGUUCAGGUCAGAUAAGUUUGUUUAUUGUCGUUGCAUGCCAAGUAUUUUUGAUUGCAUUGGUCUGGUACAGAGUCAAGACUCCAUCAUCCAUUUUAGACAGCUGGCCAAACAGCUUCAGGAAAUGAGAGACAGAGAUUUUUUUAUUGCUUGCAUUGAAGAGACUAUCAGUGCUUCUCUUCAUGAUUUAUCUCAGAGGAGCUUGUUACUCAUCACACAUGGGUAACAGCGUUCAGCACUGGAGAUUACUUACUGUAACUAACCAGAUGUAAACAAACCAGGGUUUGGCACUGUAGAGUUUGAAGCAGGAACGUCAAAUGCAAUGUUUAAAGUCAUCAUGAACUAUUAAUAAUGGAAUUUUGCAGUAUUUAUUAUUAAUGAUUUAUCCGUGCACAUCAUUCAUUUUCCUCGUAAUCUUGAAUCAGAAUAUCUUCCCCUCCCUCUUGCAUCAACAUCUAUUCUCUGAUGUCGAGGACGGGGCAACCUGUCACUCACAUGAGAUCCACCAAUAGCAAACCACAACCAUCCAAUCAAUUCCCCACAGACAAAAUCAAACCCCGCCCUACAUUUGUUCUUGUUCCAGAAGCGUUUCACUCAGAUAUACGGCACAAUAUGAAAGAAAAGGCUGUCAUGCAACCCAAACAUAAUCUAUACAUGUAUCUGUUAAAUCUGGCAGAUAUUCACUACUUGUCUGGGCUCAUGCAUGUAUGUCCGCACACCUCCUGUCGUCAGUCAGUCGUUGGGAUUGUUUUUGCUGUUGUUUCAUAAAAACCGGUUCUUCCUGUUCAGUCCUCAUUGUGGAGGUGAAUACAGACAUGUAUGUAAAAGUGCAGAAUCACCAUUAUGCACCAAGUUUAAAGACUAAUGUAUAAAGCACACAAUCUAAAUUGCGUAGACAGUGUAAAAUGAAGAUGUCUGGAUGUAGGCCUUCAAGUUGAUCCAUUUACAUGAUCAGUGGGAAAAGAGUUCAGACAUUAUUUAAAGGGGUCCUAUAAUGCCUUUCUCCAUCUUCAUGUUUCUUUAGUGUGUAAUGUUGCUGUUUGAGCUUGAAAAAGUCCCUCCAGCGGGAGUUCUUCUCUAUAUCAGCGUCAGUGUUUCUGAACUCCCUGAAAGUUUUCUUCACAAUAUUCCUCAUUUAAAUAAUUCAUACACAGAAUAAAGGGGCGGGGCCUGGUUGAGUUAGUUAGUAGUGUGUUGAAACUGGCAGUUAUGGUAAGGGGCGGGACAUUUCCCUAAUGACCAAUCGCAACACACUGCUCCAGCCGACCAAUCAGAGCACACUGUGCUUUUCAGAAGGAGGGGCUUCAUAGAGACAGGAACUAAACAGAGCGUUACUGACAGACUGGGAAGAGAGGAGCUGAACAAUGGAGAAUAUGAGGAAAAUAAUCAACAUUCAAGCAGGAAAACCAUAAUCUUUAUGAGGAGCUACAGCCAUUAAAUGUCACUUUAUUUGAACAAAAUGCAUUGGAGGGGCAAGGUCUUCAAGCAGUUCCUGGAGAUAUUUUGCUUUUCCUGACUCUGAAGUGAGCUUCUCUUCUCUGAUGGCGAGGGCGGGGCAACCUGUCACUCACAUGAGAUCCACCAAUAGCAAACCACAACCAUCCAAUCAAUUCCUCACAGACAAAAUCAAGCCCCGCCCUACAUUUGUUCAGUUUCAUGAUGAAUUGAGGAUUUGAGAGUCCAUUAAAAAUGCAUAUCUGUUGACCAAUAAUGAUAAUAAUAUUAGACGCAUCCUGCUAUGUAAGUGCAUGAGAAAAAUGUACUUUUCCAAAUUAAAUUCUAAACAAUUUCCUAAGGCUUUCAAGCACAAAUUGCACCAUUUCCUGAAAAUGACUCUUUUAUAUGUUUCCUCAUGUCUUGCAUUGUAUUUUUAUUAAUAUGAUCUGUGUUAAAUCAUUAACACAUUUAUGCUAAGCUUUUCCCAUAAUGUUUUUCUGUCUCCUGUUGCUCUGGGAAACAGCUCUGAGCACAAGAGAUUACUAUUAUUAGCUAACCCAGCAUAAACAGACUAGGAGUAUACGGUUACUGUAGUCUCAACAUUUGGGAGCCAAAUAAAUAUUAGGUAUGAUAUUUCAAAUAUGUGCUUGCAAUGCCUGUUUAUGUUCACAUUUAUGGUCUUUAAAUGAAUUAGCUAAGAGGCAUUAUAUCUAGGUCAUCAGUCAAUUAUAAUUUCACAUGUCUAUCCGGUUACUAUGAUUUCUGAUUGUCUGCAUGAUUCAUACGGCCUCAAAUGGACACAUUCACUCAUACUUUAAAAAUAAGAUGGAUGUGUUUGUGCACUUAACAACAAAAUGCUCUAUGGAGGAAUGUUAAAAAAGUUAAUAUACUGUAAAAUUCUGAUUUGUUUUCUAGGCCUAAAUUAGGGAGAACUUGCGAGUAGCAUGCAAACUCUGCCCUGUUUGGCUUUAAUCAUUUUUAGCCUUUUCCUUUGUUCACUGUGACUUGCAUGUUUCAACAGCGAAAGGAAAAACCAAUGCAAACAAUUCAAUCUGUAUGUAAAUCUUCAUCAGUGUUUGUGGCCGCGUUUGCAGUGAUUAAUCAAGAACUGGUUCUUCCAGUCACUAGAAGGGCAGAGUCACCCUAACACACCAUAUAGCAAACAUACACGUGUACUGUAAGUGUAUUUGCAUUCGGCCACUGACUUCUGAAAUGACUGUCAUUUUCCAAUGAAUACACUAAAAAGUUAUUGCUCUGCUCACCUGCAGAUACAAGUUAUCAUGAAAUCUAGUUCUCCAUUUUCCACUUCUGAUUUAAG